rnacentral:rRNA from 1 species
UGGGGAAUAUUGCGCAAUGGGCGAAAGCCUGACGCAGCGACGCCGCGUGAGGGAUGAAGGUUUUCGGAUCGUAAACCCCUGUCAGAAGGGAAGAAACCGCACUGUGCUAAUCAGCAGUGCCUUGACGGUACCUUCAAAGGAAGCACCGGCUAACUCCGUGCCAGCAGCCGCGGUAAUACGGAGGGUGCAAGCGUUAAUCGGAAUUACUGGGCGUAAAGCGCACGUAGGCUGCUUUGUAAGUCAGGGGUGAAAUCCCACGGCUCAACCGUGGAACUGCCUUUGAUACUGCUUAGCUUGAAUCCGGGAGAGGGUGGCGGAAUUCCAGGUGUAGGAGUGAAAUCCGUAGAUAUCUGGAGGAACAUCAGUGGCGAAGGCGGCCACCUGGACCGGUAUUGACGCUGAGGUGCGAAAGCGUGGGGAGCAAACAGG